rnacentral:rRNA from 1 species
GGGUUGUGAGGUUAAGCGACUAAGCGUACACGGUGGAUGCCCUGGCAGUCAGAGGCGAUGAAGGACGUGCUAAUCUGCGAAAAGCGUCGGUAAGGUGAUAUGAACCGUUACAGCCGGCGAUGUCCGAAUGGGGAAACCCAGUGCAAUUCGUUGCACUAUCGUUAACUGAAUACAUAGGUUAACGAGGCGAACCGGGGGAACUGAAACAUCUAAGUACCCCGAGGAAAAGAAAUCAACCGAGAUUCCCCCAGUAGCGGCGAGCGAACGGGGAGCAGCCCAGAGUCUGAAUCAGCUUGUGUGUUAGUGGAACGGUCUGGAAAGUCCGACGGUACAGGGUGAUAGUCCCGUACACCAAAAUGCACAGGUUGUGAACUCGAAGAGUAGGGCGGGACACGUGGUAUCCUGUCUGAAUAUGGGGGGACCAUCCUCCAAGGCUAAAUACUCCUGACUGACCGAUAGUGAAUCAGUACCGUGAGGGAAAGGCGAAAAGAACCCCGGCGAGGGGAGUGAAAAAGAACCUGAAACCGUGUACGUACAAGCAGUGGGAGCACCUUCGGGUGUGACUGCGUACCUUUUGUAUAAUGGGUCAGCGACUUAUAUUCUGUAGCAAGGUUAACCGUAUAGGGGAGCCGCAGGGAAACCGAGUCUUAACUGGGCGUUAAGUUGCAGGGUAUAGACCCGAAACCCGGUGAUCUAGCCAUGGGCAGGUUGAAGGUUGGGUAACACUAACUGGAGGACCGAACCGACUAAUGUUGAAAAAUUAGCGGAUGACUUGUGGCUGGGGGUGAAAGGCCAAUCAAACCGGGAGAUAGCUGGUUCUCCCCGAAAGCUAUUUAGGUAGCGCCUCGUGAACUCAUCUUCGGGGGUAGAGCACUGUUUCGGCUAGGGGGUCAUCCCGACUUACCAACCCGAUGCAAACUACGAAUACCGAAGAAUGUUAUCACGGGAGACACACGGCGGGUGCUAACGUCCGUCGUGAAGAGGGAAACAACCCAGACCGCCAGCUAAGGUCCCAAAGUCAUGGUUAAGUGGGAAACGAUGUGGGAAGGCACAGACAGCCAGGAUGUUGGCUUAGAAGCAGCCAUCAUUUAAAGAAAGCGUAAUAGCUCACUGGUCGAGUCGGCCUGCGCGGAAGAUGUAACGGGGCUAAACCAUGCACCGAAGCUGCGGCAGCGACACUAUGUGUUGUUGGGUAGGGGAGCGUUCUGUAAGCCUGCGAAGGUGACCUGUGAGGGUUGCUGGAGGUAUCAGAAGUGCGAAUGCUGACAUAAGUAACGAUAAAGCGGGUGAAAAGCCCGCUCGCCGGAAGACCAAGGGUUCCUGUCCAACGUUAAUCGGGGCAGGGUGAGUCGACCCCUAAGGCGAGGCCGAAAGGCGUAGUCGAUGGGAAACAGGUUAAUAUUCCUGUACUUGGUGUUACUGCGAAGGGGGGACGGAGAAGGCUAUGUUAGCCGGGCGACGGUUGUCCCGGUUUAAGCAUGUAGGCUGGUUAUCCAGGCAAAUCCGGAUAAUCAAGGCUGAGGUGUGAUGACGAGGCACUACGGUGCUGAAGUAACAAAUGCCCUGCUUCCAGGAAAAGCCUCUAAGCAUCAGGUAACAUCAAAUCGUACCCCAAACCGACACAGGUGGUCAGGUAGAGAAUACCAAGGCGCUUGAGAGAACUCGGGUGAAGGAACUAGGCAAAAUGGUGCCGUAACUUCGGGAGAAGGCACGCUGGUGUGUAGGUGAAGUCCCUGCGGAUGGAGCUGAGACCAGUCGAAGAUACCAGCUGGCUGCAACUGUUUAUUAAAAACACAGCACUGUGCAAACACGAAAGUGGACGUAUACGGUGUGACGCCUGCCCGGUGCCGGAAGGUUAAUUGAUGGGGUUAUCCGUAAGGAGAAGCUCUUGAUCGAAGCCCCGGUAAACGGCGGCCGUAACUAUAACGGUCCUAAGGUAGCGAAAUUCCUUGUCGGGUAAGUUCCGACCUGCACGAAUGGCGUAAUGAUGGCCAGGCUGUCUCCACCCGAGACUCAGUGAAAUUGAACUCGCUGUGAAGAUGCAGUGUACCCGCGGCAAGACGGAAAGACCCCGUGAACCUUUACUAUAGCUUGACACUGAACAUUGAGCCUUGAUGUGUAGGAUAGGUGGGAGGCUUUGAAGCGUGGACGCCAGUCUGCGUGGAGCCAACCUUGAAAUACCACCCUUUAAUGUUUGAUGUUCUAACGUUGGCCCCUUACCGGGGUUGCGGACAGUGUCUGGUGGGUAGUUUGACUGGGGCGGUCUCCUCCCAAAGCGUAACGGAGGAGCACGAAGGUUAGCUAAUCCUGGUCGGACAUCAGGAGGUUAGUGCAAUGGCAUAAGCUAGCUUGACUGCGAGCGUGACGGCGCGAGCAGGUGCGAAAGCAGGUCAUAGUGAUCCGGUGGUUCUGAAUGGAAGGGCCAUCGCUCAACGGAUAAAAGGUACUCCGGGGAUAACAGGCUGAUACCGCCCAAGAGUUCAUAUCGACGGCGGUGUUUGGCACCUCGAUGUCGGCUCAUCACAUCCUGGGGCUGAAGUAGGUCCCAAGGGUAUGGCUGUUCGCCAUUUAAAGUGGUACGCGAGCUGGGUUUAGAACGUCGUGAGACAGUUCGGUCCCUAUCUGCCGUGGGCGCUGGAGAAUUGAGGGGGGCUGCUCCUAGUACGAGAGGACCGGAGUGGACGCAUCACUGGUGUUCGGGUUGUCAUGCCAAUGGCACUGCCCGGUAGCUAAAUGCGGAAGAGAUAAGUGCUGAAAGCAUCUAAGCACGAAACUUGCCCCGAGAUGAGUUCUCCCUGAGACUUUAAGUCUCCUGAAGGAACGUUAAAGACGAUGACGUUGAUAGGCCGGGUGUGUAAGCGCAGCGAUGCGUUGAGCUAACCGGUACUAAUGAACCGUGAGGCUUAACCUUACAACGCCGAAG